CGAACGCUGGCGGCGUGCUUAACACAUGCAAGUCGAACGAGAAAGUUUCCUUCGGGGAACAAGUAGAGUGGCGCACGGGUGAGUAACGCGUAGGUAAUCUAUCCUUAUAUUUGGGAUAACAGACCGAAAGGUCUGCUAAUACCGGAUACCCUUUUAGAUAUGCGAGUAUUUAGGAGGAAAGGUGGCCUCUUCAUGAAAGCUACCGUAUAGGGAUGAGCCUGCGUACCAUUAGCUAGUAGGUGGGGUAACGGCCCACCUAGGCUACGAUGGUUAGCGGGUCUGAGAGGAUGAUCCGCCACACUGGAACUGGAACACGGACCAGACUCCUACGGGAGGCAGCAGUGAGGAAUAUUGCGCAAUGGGGGAAACCCUGACGCAGCGACGCCGCGUGAGUGAGGAAGGUUUUCGGAUCGUAAAGCUCUGUCAGAAGGGAAGAAAUGUUAUAUGGUCAAUACCCAUAUAAUUUGACGGUACCUUCAGAGGAAGCACCGGCUAACUCC
rnacentral:rRNA from 1 species